UGUGAAAUUUUCAACUCUUUGCGUUCAUGCCUUCUCUAUUUGUGACGUCACAUUUUCUACGGAGAACGUUUGGUAUUAAUGUUUAUCCUAAAACCAUGGGAAUUCAUACUGAUACGGACUUCUGCAAGUAUCGCUUUGCUGUUUACGAACAGACGGUUUUGAUUUCAUCAUUCCUGCCACCAAUUUUUUUGCUAGGAACUUCAUUUCGUUUAGUGGGAAAAAUGGCAGAAACGGGGGAUAAUCCUCGGGAUAGAAGAAUUAUGGUGGCUGUGGACGAGAGCGAAGAAAGCAUGUAUGCCUUGUCAUGGGCCAUCGAUUUUCUGCGCAUUCAGCCCACCGACACCAUUAUUCUACUGCACGCACAACCGCUUCCUAGGGUUUACUCAGCUAUUGAUGUUACAUAUUCACAUAUGAUAUGGCGCAGUCCUUGCAAAAGUACUAGGAGAGAAUCACUGAAGAUGUAUUCCAAAGGGCCAAAAACAUUUCCACAGAGAAAAACGUAAAAAUGUGUUUACAGACCAGAAUUGCUUGUGGGGGAUGCGAGGGAUGUUAAUUGUGAGGAAGCUGAGAAAGUUAGGGCAGACUUGGUGGUGAUUGGAAGCCAUGGCUACGGCGCCAUAAAGAGGACUGAGAUUAUUAGUUCCUGCCGGGAACUAUAGCGAAGGCUUCUUUCCUUAUCUUCUGAUUAAACGGAUUGCAAACAGCCAAUAAGAAGACCUGUGUUUUUUGAUAUUUUUCCAUUUCCUUAUGUGCAUACUUAUAGCUGCGUAUUGUUUAUGCCAAAUGCUGAUGUCAGUAUUCUUGGCGCCUGCUGAUUAGGGUUGCUGGCGGUUUGCAGAGGUCUUCUCAGUUCCCAACGGGAGAGAACGCACCAAAAACAAGGGACUUUGUCAGUGCCUUGCAGGGUCUUGCAGGGUUAUUAUUCCGAGCACAAGAUGGCAUUCGUUCAAUAAUCCACAUGCCUUGACUGUGCUUUCACAUUUUGCGUACCCAUCUAGACGUGGCGAGGGGCUGUGCUUUGAGGGGUUGUUUCUUCCGCUUCUUCAUUCGCAGAGUGAGGACAUAUGCAGAGUGGAUGGUUGAUUCCAGUUAGGGUUUCAAAUAGCACUUUGUUAAGGAAGUGAGAAAAUGAAGUUUCAGAAGCAGCUAGAAGCGCAGCUUGUUGCAGAGUGGAUAAAUGCUUAUGUGAAUUACAAGCAGCUCAAGAAGGAUAUCAAACAAAUUAGAGAGCAGAUUGCAAGCAAAGAAGACCACCCUGUCACCAAUAAACAUUCUGCUUCUUCUUUUCUGAUUGUACAUCAUGAAAUUCGAGAAAACAGUAACGGUGGUAUGGAGAUGGUGUAUAUAACAGAGUGAGAGACUUCUGUUCCCGAUCUAGUUUUGCCACUGCCUGCAAUAUAGCUUUUCUAUGGCCCAGUUUGUGACAGAGGAAACGCUUAAGGCUUGGACCUUCCAUAUUGAUAUUUUUGCCAAGGCAGAGAUGUCCUUAAGCACCACAUUAGAUGAUUUUUUACCUAAGAAAUGAAUUUGGACAAUUUUAACAAGAGCUGGGAGCCUUCGCUUUUGUUUGCUGCAUGUAUAGAUUUGUAAGUUUGAGUCUGUUAGGUUUGCACCAAUUGAAAAUAGAAUAGUAAUAGGCAUUAUGUUUUCUAAAUUAUCAACUGUUUCUGUUUGCGAAUUUCCUACACAUCAUAAUACUUUCUAUAACAUAAAUCAUACUGGGUUUUUGUGUAUUCUAUUUCAUUAUGCCGCAUGAUUCUCAAUUCACCAUUUCAUUAUCUCUGUUACUAUUUUGAUUGUUUACUUUUCCCAAUAAAACCAAGAAUUCGUCAAAUUGCACCCUUACUAGGAGUAGUGGAGUUACCUAUCUAAUGUAACAAAUUAUUUGUUUUGUCACAGAAAUUUGUUUGACAGAAGGAUUCUUCUUUCACUGGGUAGUACUGAAGUGUUUUUGUCACAGGCAAAGCUGUUAUGAAGUCUGGGCAUGCUAGGAGCACUGGAAUUACCUAUCUAAUGUAACAAAAUAUUUGUUUUGUCACAGAAAUUUGUUAGAAGGAUUCUUCUUUCACUGGGUAGUACUGAAGUGUUUUUGACACAGGCGAAGCUGUUAUGAAGUCUGGGCAUGCGUUUCUCCAACAUCAUUCUUUUCUCUUUAUUCUGUGUCUUUCUGGAUAAAGAUUUGCUAUUUUUAACCUAAAUAGUAGGUGGCACCAAAAUAUGGUGAUUGUAGGGUUGCAAAGCCACAAUUUUGUGGUUGGGAAGACACAUCUUUUUGUGUUUUAAAUGACUGGUAUAGGCUCUCUUAUAAUUAGUCAACAAUUCUUUCCUAUAAUCAGUUGACAUUUUCAAAUUGACGUUAUAUCAGUGGAAUAUUAGCAAGUUGCUAUUACAGGGAAAGCUGGGAUGGCCGGUUAGCUGGAAUACCAUUUAUCAUGUUCAUUUAAAUUUUUGCUUUUCAUGUGUAAUAACAAAAGGCAAACAUAUUGCUAGCUGCCAAAACUUGUGAAGAUUUUAACACUGGCUAAGAUGAAUAAAAUACCAAGUUUUUCUUCAA